UUUCCAGGACCUCUGCUGGGAGAAUGGAGCCCCAGGCUCAGUGCCAGGUGACCGCGGGCAAGAUUGGGUGCAGCCCCAUUGGCCACGAGCAGCCGAUCCGAGCUCCACACCUGCUCUGAUGAUGGACCCCACCGGGCUUUGGCAGCCGCGUUUCCUGAACUGACGCACGGCCCUGCUUCCGGGGGCCCGUGCUUGCAACAUCUUUCCACCAUAAAACCGCCAUGGAAGUUAAUUGCCUGCAUCGCUUUGCAAUUGAACAGGUCCAUAAAAUGUUCAUUUGGUGCCGUCUCAGGGACUGAACGGGUGGCCAGUCGUUUGGCUUCGGGCGACAGCAGACAUCUGGGGGGCGGUCCCUAGGCAGGGAGGCGUCUCCGAAAUUGCUGAUGUUGAGCCUUCGGAGGGACUUUCUCGGAGCCGUUCCAAAGUGUGUAGGAGCGACUGGUCAUUUACUGGAAUAUUCCUGCCGGGGGCUGUGGAGGCUGCCAAGAGAUAUUUGCAAUUAAGGUGCAAAACUGAAGCCUGAUGGAAAUGAUGGUUUGCAUGUCAGCGUCAGCUUGCGUGAGUGGCCACUGGGGACUGUGGUCUACAUCAUAAAUUACUUUCCACGGAAAGCCUGGUAGCCGGGAGGAUGUACUGAUUUUGGAGUUGGACAGUCUGGAAGUUUGACACCUGGCUCCAUCACUGGAUGGCUUUGGGCAAAGCAGAGUCUGUCUUCAGCCUGAGGCGGUGAUCAAUUUUCAGACUGUGCCCCGCCGUGGGGAAAAGACUUGAGCAGGCUGGCUGCCCCCAUAUAAGUGUAUUUGGAAUUUUAAGUGAUAUGUGCGGAUCUGAAACAUAAAACAGCCCCCCAAGGCAGUGAACAAGGAACGAGAUAUAAAAUACCUGUAAACAGUUUCUGGGAUAUUCUUCCCUUGUAUGAAGCAUGCCGAGGUGGGGUGGAGCCUGAGCACUGCUGAACAUUUCUAAAAGGAAGAGGGACAGGUUCUGACGCGUGCGUUUAGGUGGAUGGUGCCACAGUACGAAUGCAGCUCGGAGGCAAGACCAGGGAGCAGACGGGUGAUGCCGAAGUUGCUGCAGGAGAUGUGCCCGAGGAACUUGCAGCCAGGAUGCAGGAGAGCUCUGGGUUGCGGACCAAUUUGAGAGACGGAUCGGAUGUGGGGCGAGCGGAUUGGAGAGGUGCUUGGGCUGACCUGGUUUCUAGCUUGGGGCACUAAAACCUAAAGCACACGGACCCUCGACUCCAGUGGCCUCGGCCCCGGCAGGAAGCGCGAGUCGGUGGCUGGGCGCAACACGUGAAGACCCGGUCAAGUUCAGAUGCCUUGGAAACUCCUCCGUGUGGCCAGAGAAAGCCCGUGGAGUUGAGCCUGCGGAUUUGUUGGGACCUGGAAGCCAAGGAGGUUUGAGGUGACCGCCCGUAUUGAGAUGACCGGGGAGGCAGUAAGGAUGCUUAAAAUCAGCUUUCUCUUUGGAGCUGGCGCACCCGGAGGGGGUGGCCGAGGCACCUGUGUCCCCUCUUCCCUACUGGCAUUGCCAGCCCAUGGUCAGGAUUUAUUAGCUCUUACUCCCCAUCUCCCACCUUACAGGGUGCAAAGCAGCUAAAACACAAGUACAGACUCUGAUGUGAUGGAGGGAGGGAUGUGUGCCUUCCUUCCUCCCGCCCCUCCCUGCACCCCUGCCCGCCACAGGUGACUCUGAGGGCCAUGGGACCCUCCUAGGGCGUCUCUGUCCAGGCCCCACCCCAGCCCCCAGCCCUGGAUGGCACCUCGUCUUAGCUGCUGCCCCAUCUUACUAGUAGAGAGAGCAGGACUCAAGGGGGGUGGAAUUACUUACCCAAGGUCACCUGGGAACUGGGAGUCACCUAAUCAUGGGCUGGGACUGUCCCUGUGAGGCACAGCACCUAGGACCGGCCUGUGAAUCAGGGAAGGACAGGAGGAGGUCACCCUCCCACCGACAGAGGGACAGAGGGACAGCAAGGAGCAGAGAAAAAGGUAAGGCGAGCCAGAGGCCGGAGCCUCUCCUGCAGCCCGGGUUUGCCAGCCUGGCCUGUUCCACACCGCGUCUGAGCUACAAGCCCCUCGGAGGGUGCCUGACCCUGGGAGUGGGAACUGGGGACCCCCGGGCUGGAUCUUGCUAUCUUCAAAAAAAAAUUGAAAUAAUUUCCAACUUCCUGUUGCAACAAUAGUAUAAAGACCAACGAUUAACAUUUUGCCACAUUUUGCUUCUAGCACGGACAUGACUAUUUUUUUUCCCUUCACCUGUUGAGGCUUAGCUUUAGACCUCAUGCCUCUGACCCUUAAAUACGUCAGCGGGCGUAUCAUAAGAGUAAACGCGUCCUCCGUCAAAAUGCUGUUGUCCAAUUCGACUUUGGUACAACACCAUUGUCUACUCUACACACAUAUUUACGUUUUGGCAUUUUCUCCCCCAGACGGUCCUUCCUGGCGAUCCUUUUUCUCCCUCACCUGAUCUAGCAUUUAAUCCAAGACGGUACUUGCCCUGUGUGUGUUUUCCUUUCACCUGCACUAGUUCAACUCUUUGUCUUCUUUCCAUCUUGGUACGUUUGAGAAGCUAUUUUGUGGAAUGUCCUAUUUUGUGGGAUGGCCCCCAGGUUGGGUUGGUCUGAUGCUUUCCAAGCAAGUUACGCCUUCCUGGCAGGAAUAAUAGGAGAUGCGUGAAAAAAAUGAAGCUGGUGGCAAAUAAAACUCUGAAAGAUUUUA